rnacentral:rRNA from 1 species
GAUGAACGCUGGCGGCGUGCCUAAUACAUGCAAGUCGAGCGAACAGAUGAGGAGCUUGCUCCUCUGACGUUAGCGGCGGACGGGUGAGUAACACGUGGAUAACCUACCUAUAAGACUGGGAUAACUUCGGGAAACCGGAGCUAAUACCGGAUAAUAUAUUGAACCGCAUGGUUCAAUAGUGAAAGACGGUUUUGCUGUCACUUAUAGAUGGAUCCGCGCCGCAUUAGCUAGUUGGUAAGGUAACGGCUUACCAAGGCAACGAUGCGUAGCCGACCUGAGAGGGUGAUCGGCACCACUGGAACUGAGACACGGUCCAGACUCCUACGGGAGGCAGCAGUAGGGAAUCUUCCGCAAUGGGCGAAAGCCUGACGGAGCAACGCCGCGUGAGUGAUGAAGGUCUUCGGAUCGUAAAACUCUGUUAUUAGGGAAGAACAAAUGUGUAAGUAACUAUGCACGUCUUGACGGUACCUAAUCAGAAAGCCACGGCUAACUACGUG